UGGGGAAUUUUGGACAAUGGGGGCAACCCUGAUCCAGCAAUGCCGCGUGUGUGAAGAAGGCCUUCGGGUUGUAAAGCACUUUUGUCCGGAAAGAAAACGCCGUGGUUAAUACCCGUGGCGGAUGACGGUACCGGAAGAAUAAGCACCGGCUAACUACGUGCCAGCAGCCGCGGUAAUACGUAGGGUGCAAGCGUUAAUCGGAAUUACUGGGCGUAAAGCGUGCGCAGGCGGUCCGCUAAGACAGAUGUGAAAUCCCCGGGCUUAACCUGGGAACUGCAUUUGUGACUGGCGGGCUAGAGUAUGGCAGAGGGGGGUAGAAUUCCACGUGUAGCAGUGAAAUGCGUAGAGAUGUGGAGGAAUACCGAUGGCGAAGGCAGCCCCCUGGGCCAAUACUGACGCUCAUGCACGAAAGCGUGGGGAGCAAACAGGAUUAGAUACCCUGGUAGUCCACGCCCUAAACGAUGUCAACUAGUUGUCGGGUCUUCAUUGACUUGGUAACGUAGCUAACGCGUGAAGUUGACCGCCUGGGAGUACGGUCGCAAGAUUAAAAACUUAAAUGAAUUGAC
rnacentral:rRNA from 1 species